GUGUUACUUUGCAUUACAUUGAUCAGUGAUUAAUGGAUUCUUCAUGUUUUUCUUGUGUUAACCAGGAAGAACAGAUCAGUGAGCAGGAGGGAUCUAACACCACCCCCAGCCACUGCCAGGUAAGCACAAAAUAACCAUCAAUCCAAAUCUGUAUUUUAGCGGCUUCCCUACAGAGCCAAAUAGAUGUGAUAAAACAUAUUUUUAAUGACACAUUUAAGCACCUCCAUAGAUGAUUCACAAAUGAUCUCUCUAUUUAGCAGGAGACACUGGUUGAAACUGGCAAUACCAGCUGCCAGGAUGAAGAACCAGUAGUGGAGGACCUGGGCCCUACCAUCGGCCAGGAAGAGCUGGAAGAGACUGACAACCUCCAAGAACCUAUUGACCCUCUGAAUGAGAUCUGUGAGGAGUCAAUAGAAAAAACUGGCACUGACACCAGCCAGAAUGACUGCCCAGAGGAAGAACAGCUGGACAGUGAACUCAGCCAGAUUGAGGCCGAGGAAAUUGUUGAGGAAGAACAACUGAGUGAGCAGAAGGAGGAGGAGGAUGAUGAGGAGGAGACAUCCUCUAACUCCAGCCACUGCCAGG